rnacentral:rRNA from 1 species
CCUACGGGCGGCAGCAGUGGGGAAUAUUGGACAAUGGGGGGAACCCUGAUCCAGCCAUGCCGCGUGUGUGAAGAAGGCCCUCGGGUUGUAAAGCACUUUCAGUGAGGAAGAACGCCUGGUGGUUAAUACCCAUCAGGAAAGACAUCACUCACAGAAGAAGCACCGGCUAACUCCGUGCCAGCAGCCGCGGUAAUACGGAGGGUGCGAGCGUUAAUCGGAAUUACUGGGCGUAAAGCGCGCGUAGGUGGCUUGAUAAGCCGGUUGUGAAAGCCCCGGGCUCAACCUGGGAACGGCAUCCGGAACUGUCAAGCUAGAGUGCAGGAGAGGAAGGUAGAAUUCCCGGUGUAGCGGUGAAAUGCGUAGAGAUCGGGAGGAAUACCAGUGGCGAAGGCGGCCUUCUGGACUGAGACUGACACUGAGGUGCGAAAGCGUGGGUAGCAAACAGGAUUAGAUACCCUUGUAGUC